rnacentral:lncRNA from 1 species
CGCCGGGCCGGAGCUCCCCGCCCUGGGCGCAGUGGGUGCAGGUUCUAAUUUAAUUGCAUUGUUGUCAGAGAACAAGUCUGUAUUCAGUCAAGAUCCUGGCAGGAAGCAGAUGGCACACUCAAAUUGGCAAUUACUGUUAUAUCAAGACUAAGCUUUGCUGCCUGUUCCCUGACUGCUCCUCAUCAAAGACAGAGUCUGAGAUACCAGUGCUGGCCCCUCCGUCCCACUCAAGACCCCUCCGACGGGCAGCUUUAUCAGGGACACCCAUCAGCUUGGCCGAAAGCUUCUGGGAGGGGGACUGCAGUCUGAGACUCUUCCUACCCAAGCCCCUUCCUUCCCUGUCUCUUUUGCAGGCCUCAGACCUGCCUCAGGAUCUGAAGCUCUUCUGCCUGCACCUGCUCCCUCCCCUCUAUCCUGCAUGGGCUUACUCCCAAUCACCACUCGCCCCUCCUCUAAUGCCACAGAGACAUGGACUGACAUGGAUCCCCGGGGAGCAUGUUUUUCUCUCCAGCUGGCCAUAUUCCUUGGGCGUCGAGUGACUCUGGCCUAGCCCACAGAGGAGCCACUUCCCUACCUUGUGCUGCAUCAUGCUGUAGCAUCUGAGAGGAGGCUCUCUGGACAGCUCUCUGUUGUCUCCAGGGCCGUCCCACCCAGGAGGACCUCGCAGCUCCCUAACAGUCCCCGUGAUGGCUUCCUGUGGUCCAGGCCAUCCCAAGACGGGCAGGAGAGCAGGACUAAACUGUGUCUCUCCUGCCCGUCCCCCUUGCCCUGGCUGCAGCCUCCACCCACUUCACAGACCUCAUCUAUUUUUCCAGUGGGAAAAGGCCCAGUAACAGAACAUGCGGGGCCCAGUGCAAAAUGAAAUAAAGCCGCCUUGUUCAAAAGCCUGGCAAAGUGCAGUUAAAGGUGCUAAAUAUACAAACCUCUUCCUCCAUUCCCCAGGCUCUCUUGAUUAGCCAUGGUGUUUUCUUGCUAUUUAAUGCCAUUCUAAGUAAAGAAAAUUAA